CCGGAAAGGUAAUUUUCAACCCCACUCAUUCCAUACCUUCUCUGAUUUCGCCUUCCUGGCAUUGUGCACGAACCUGCGACCCAGCUUCUUAGCAUACCAGAUAGAGGCAAACAUAGCGAUGCCAAUGGAAGGAAUUCACAACGAAGCUGCCGCACAAUCAACUUCCCACCUCGGCUCAGAGACGAACAGAAUCAGGCUGGAGCUGUCACUUGCAGGCUGUUGCUUUCUCAGUUCCUCUCAUGCUGCCUCUCCUAUGACGGAAACCUACCAGUGCAGCUGAGUUUGAGAUGCAACGUUAAUCCAUUUAAGCAGCUUUGGGUUCAUGCCUCAACACACACACUAUGUGAGCCUCCUCUGAAUUCUCAAGCUUAUAUCACAAAGACAAAGAUCUGAUCACUUUAAUAUAGAAAGAGCCUCCAGAAGUCUGCAAGAAAACCACUAAAAGCACAAGAGAACAAUGAGCAGAAGACACAAACGACUACAUAUAGAAAAACAGAAAGACAAAUGGCUCCCAAACACAUGAAAAGAUGUUCGGCAUCACUGAUAAGAGAAACAAAAUUCCACUGAGAUACUCUUUCAUGCUACAGGGGUUCGUAGUAUAAUGGGG
rnacentral:lncRNA from 1 species